CUCUGUGAUGAUAACGCUAUAUAGGAAGUGCCGUCUGAUGCGAUAACUGACGAUGGUAAGCGUUAUUCUGAGA